rnacentral:RNase_P_RNA from 1 species
AAAGUUUGACAGACAAUCGCCGGCGGCUAUAGGCCGCGGGAGGAAAGUCCGGGCUCCAUAGGGCAGGGUGCUGGAUAACGUCCAGUCGACGCGAGUCGAAGGAUAGUGCCACAGAAAUGGACCGCCGAUGGCUGCUGCAAAGCAGCACAGGCAAGGAUGGAACCGAGGUGUAAGAGACCCCGAGGAACGCUGGUGACUUCGUUCCUGGUAAACCCCACUUGGAGCAAGACCUAAAGGAACGCAGCUUCUGUUAAAGGAAGCAGUCUUAGCCCGAGAUGCGUUCAGGUUGGUCGCUGGAGCCGUUCAGUAAUGAGCGGCCUAGAUAGAUGAUUGUCACUCAAGGCGGGAGGGUAGUUCCCGUUAAUACCGCGAAGUAGUACAGAACCCGGCUUACGGCAAACUUUCAUC